CCUACGGGCUGCUGCAGUGAGGAAUCUUGGUCAAUGGGCGCGAGCCUGAACCAGCCCAGUCGCGUGAGGGAAGACGGUCCUAUGGAUUGUAAACCUCUUUUGUCGGGGAGCCAAAGACGCCACUCGUGGCGUUCCGAGCUUACCCGAAGAAAAAGCAUCGGCUAACUCCGUGCCAGCAGCCGCGGUAAUACGGAGGAUGCGAUCGUUCUCCGGAUUUAUUGGGUUUAAAGGGUGCGCAGGCGGAAGAUCAAUUCAGCGGUAAAAUUGAGAGGCUCAACCUCUUCGAGACGUUGAAACUGGUUUUCUUGAGUGAGCGAGAAGUAUGCGGAAUGCGUGGUGUAGCGGUGAAAUGCAUAGAGAUCACGCAGAACUCCGAUUGCGAAGGCAGCAUACCGGCGCUCAACUGACGCUCAUGCACGAAAGUGUGGGUAUCGAACAGGAUUAGAUACCCGAGUAGUC
rnacentral:rRNA from 1 species